GAUCUCUAAGGGUAGGUGGGCACAUCAAGGGGCGGUGUUUCUGGGGGUAGGGGCGUGCAAGAAGGGGUGGGUGGUGUGUGUGUUUCUGUGAAUAGCGCUUUGCAACAGGAGUGUGUGUUUCUGUUUCUGGGGGUUGAGGUGCAGAACAAGGGGUGUGUGUGUGUGUUUCUGGGGAUAGGGAUGUGCAACAAUGCGGGGGGGUGUUUCUGGGGUUGUUCCUAGUAUCUUCUUUGUCCCUGGAAAAGAUGAGUUAACCGGAGGUGGACCAAUGGACUACCAAACCAAAAACAGCGCCUGUUUUCCAACUUUUCUCCACUCACCUUCCCAAUCCAGGCUCACCACUUCCAUUCACUGUGCUGAGCCAAGGUCACGGGGCUUAGACCAAGGAGAAAGAACAGACAAAUGUGACAAUCCACAGAACAGUCUGUACCCACUCCUCUUCUUUUCUUUUCUAGCCAAGAAGCCCCAGACCCACAUCCCCCAACCCAGUAUCACCGCUUUGCUCACCCAACAUCCCAAAGAGAUGCAUCACGCUCCCUGCUCCUGUGUACCAUCUGAUGUCAUCCUAAACAACAUAUGGGGUGGCUGGUUGGGGUGGGAGGGCCGAUUACUCGGGGUUAGGCUGGGCAUCGGUCAGAAGGUGGUGAGCAAUUGCAUUGUGCAUCACUUGUUUCCUGCUUUCCAGCUUAGUCCAUGCCUAUGACCUAGGCUACAAGAAACAAAGUGGUCGUGUGUGAUGGACACGCAAACAGAUGUUAGGAAGAACUUAAUUGAAAAGGUUGUUAGGCAUUGGAACAGGCUGCCCAGGGAGGUGGUGGAGUCACCACCCCUGGAGGUCUUUGAAAGAUGUUUAGACGUAGAGCUUAGGGAUAUGGUUUAGUGGGGACUGUUAGUGUUAGGUCAGAGGUUGGACUCGAUGAUCUUGAGGUCUCUUCCAACCUAGAUGACUCUGUGUGGGGACUAGAGCUGGGGACCAUAUCAGGGGACCAGGUCUGGGGAGCAGCCCUGGGGACCCAGUUCAGGGACCAGGUGUGGGGACAAGGUCUUGGGACCAGAUCUGCAGACCAGGUCUUGGGACCAGCUCUGGGGACUGUGUUUGGGACCAGGUGCAAGGACUAGACUUGGGGAUGAGGUGUGG
rnacentral:lncRNA from 1 species